AUUGAACGCUGGCGGCAGGCCUAACACAUGCAAGUCGGACGGUAGCACAGAGGAGCUUGCUCCUUGGGUGACGAGUGGCGGACGGGUGAGUAAUGUCUGGGGAUCUGCCCGAUAGAGAGGGAUAACCACUGGAAACGGUGGCUAAUACCGCAUAACGUCGCAAGACCAAAGAGGGGGACCUUCGGGCCUCUCACUAUCGGAUGAACCCAGAUGGGAUUAGCUAGUAGGCGGGGUAAUGGCCCACCUAGGCGACGAUCCCUAGCUGGUCUGAGAGGAUGACCAGCCACACUGGAACUGAGACACGGUCCAGACUCCUACGGGAGGCAGCAGUGGGGAAUAUUGCACAAUGGGCGCAAGCCUGAUGCAGCCAUGCCGCGUGUAUGAAGAAGGCCUUCGGGUUGUAAAGUACUUUCAGCAGGGAGGAAGGCGGUGAGGUUAAUAACCUCGCCGAUUGACGUUACCCGCAGAAGAAGCACCGGCUAACUCCGUGCCAGCCGCCGCAGUAA
rnacentral:rRNA from 1 species